UGUCCAGCCCUACUCAUAGUU
rnacentral:siRNA from 1 species